GACGAACGCUGGCGGCGUGCCUAAUACAUGCAAGUCGAGCGCAGGAAACUGACGGAACUCUUCGGAGGGAAGGCAGGGGAAUGAGCGGCGGACGGGUGAGUAACACGUAAGGAACCUGCCUCAAGGAUUGGGAUAACUCCGAGAAAUCGUAGCUAAUACCGGAUAGUUCAACGGACCGCAUGGUCCCCUGAGGAAAGGCGCUCCGGCGUCACCUUGAGAUGGCAUUGCGGUGCAUUAGCUAGUUGGUGGGGUAACGGCCCACCAAGGCGACGAUGCAUAGCCGACCUGAGAGGGUGAUCGGCCACACUGGGACUGAGACACGGCCCAGACUCCUACGGGAGGCAGCAGUAGGGAAUCUUCCACAAUGGACGAAAGUCUGAUGGAGCAACGCCGCGUGAGUGAUGAAGGUUUUCGGAUCGUAAAACUCUGUUGUAAGGGAAGAACACGUACGAGAGGGAAUGCUCGUACCUUGACGGUACCUUACGAGAAAGCCACGGCUAACUACGUGCCAGCCGCCGCGGUAAGAC
rnacentral:rRNA from 1 species